rnacentral:rRNA from 1 species
CCCUUAGAUGUUCUGGGCUGCACGCGCGCUACACUGAUGCGCUCAACGAGUUUACGAACUUGCCCGGAAGGGUUGGUUAAUCUUUUUAAAACGCAUCGUGAUGGGGAUAGAUUAUUGCAAUUAUUAAUCUUCAACGAGGAAUUCCUAGUAAGCGCGAGUCAUAAGCUCGCGUUGAUUACGUCCCUGCCCUUUGUACACACCGCCCGUCGCUACUACCGAUUGAACGGUUUAGUGAGGGCCUCGGAUUGGUCUCGGCCCGCUCUUUACCGGGCGGCGCCGUUGGUCGAGAAGACGCUCGAACUUGAUCGUUUAGAGGAAGUAAAAGUCGUAACA